UACGUAGGGGGCAAGCGUUGUCCGGAUUUACUGGGCGUAAAGCGCGCGUAGGUGGAGCGAUCAGUCCGGUCUGAAAAGCCCCCCGGCUCAACCCGGGGGAGGGUCAUUGGAAACUGGGAGACUUGAGUGCAGAAGAGAAGAGUGGAAUUCCACGUGUAGCGGUGAAAUGCGUAGAGAUGUGGAGGAACACCAGUGGCGAAGGCGACUCUUUGGUCUGUAACUGACGCUGGAGGCGCG
rnacentral:rRNA from 1 species